CAAGUCACAGCAAGAAAGAAUUUUGUCCACAAAUGAGGAUGCACAAAUAAUAAGCUCCCCCACGAAUCACUGAGUUUCCUCUGUGAAGUGCUCUGAGUAGCUACAAAAAGAAGACCAGCCUAUCCUGCUGGAGAGAGUGGCCAGGUGAAGAAAGAGCCCUUGGAGUGUGAAAGACCACAGGGAAAGAGAGGCCACAUGGAACCAACAGUCAGCACCUUGGUUUUGGACAUGUGAAGAAAUUCAUCUCAGACUGUGUAUCCUAAAUCAGGCACUUGCCAAAUGCAACUACAUGAGCGAGACCAGUUGACAACACACGGAGCAGAGUUCUCAGUGUCUCCUCUAGAAGGCGCUUUCAGUCUUCCAACCACAGCUUGGGAGGCUGUUCCAGUCUUGCUGACUUUUAGUGAGAAGAAAACAGUUUCCAG